GCGCCAUAACCUUCAUUCCCCACGCGCGCGCCGAGGCCACCAUCACCUUCCUUCCCCACGCACCGAGGCCGCCAUCCGUGCCAUCGCCUUCCUUCCUUACGUGCGCCCCCCCUCCGUGUGUGCCCCGCCCUUGUCCUUCGCUCACCCUAUGCCCUGCCACCUCCGCCGUGACAGCCUCACUCACCUCGGAUAUCCAUGGGACGGCGCAGUGCGACCCCGACCUCAGCGUUCCAUGGAAGGGCGCGAUCCACUCUGCUGAGCUCCUCGUCCUUGCAUAGGCGUACGCGCAGGCCGAGGAGCUCUCCAUCGAGCGCGAGCAUCUCAUCGCUGAGCUCCAGUUCUUGCAGAGCGCCAGCCGCGAGCGCGAGAUCUCCCAGGCCCACCUCCAGCAGAACCUUCUCAUCAGCGAUGGGGGAACUAGAUGGUGAGGAGGAGGAGGAAGUGGAGCGCAUCCUGUGACGGCGAUGCGGGUAGCACUAGGGAAAUCCAGCCGCAUCUACUCGCCUUCGCUCAGGCUUUUCCCGCUGGCCACAACUCUGGGACCAUCCACAUCUACAUCUGGGACAAGGGUUUACCUAAAGGAAAGGGCCUACUUUUGCUUGCUGAAAUGAGCUCAGCUGGCAACCUUGCUUGGACUACACUACUGCGGUUGUAAAGAGUGUCGAGCAACAUCCUGCUUUGUAAUAGGAUGUAGAUCAGUAAAUCCUGCAUCUUGGUCUCCAGCGCCGUCGAGCCCAGCAUUCAUCCAUGCCACUCCUGGAGUUUAGAUGGCUGUUGGAGGAGAUGCCCUUGGGCAACAAUAUAAUACUCCCAUUUUUGUGAGUGCAUUUUUGCCAUUCGGUUCUCGUUGGAUGGCUCACUUGCUUCUUGUCGACUGGGGAUUAGGUGUGUUGGGUUGUGGCCACUGGCCGGCGACAGCUAGGAACAACAACCUGUAGUAGGUGUCAAUUGAGGCGACAUUGCGUCAGGAAGCAGAAGACAUGCACACAAUUGGUGAAUGACAACUUUGCAUCUGUGAUUUGGCCCAAGAAAAUUUGUUCUUAACACUUGGUGGGAAUAAAAAGGAACAGAGAGAUAGUGAUGGAUGGCCAGGAGAGGCGAGGGCCACCUCACCGUAGAUGGAGCCCACGGCGCACGCAAGGAGUGGCGCACCUUCUCCGGCUCCUUGCUCUGCUCCAAUGGCGUCAAUGUCCACGUGCCACGUCAUGGAGCGGAUGCAGCACAAUUGGCUAGCUGUAUACAUGCAUCUGUUCAAUCCAUGGCUUCUCGACGCUCUCCUAGGUUUUGGACUUCAAAACUUUGUCAUGGUCAAAGCUAGAAGCUAAAUCACAAGCAGAACCAUCCGAAUUAGCUGGAGCAGUUUCAUUUUCAGCAAGUGCUGGUCAUUCACUGAUGCAGGUGCUACCGAGGAAGAGGAGGCGCUCCCGGUCCUGGCUUCUAAACGUUGUGAACCAGAUCUUGGUGCGGUUGCCCGAGUAGUUUACUCGUCUAGAGGAGGGGUUUGGUUGUCGACCCGAUUUGGUGGGGGCUUCGCCACUGGGAUAAGGGGACAGUUUGGCCUACUGGAUCUUUAUUGCCAGUUGUUGGUUCUGUCCUUUCCAUUGGGCUGGUACUUUCUUGACGGAUUGGUUAAGCGCUGUCUGUGGGGUUGUUGUGCUGCUCCUCCCUUCAUCUCGUUUUGUGGUGAUUGGUGGAGGGGGAGGAGGAAGAGCUAGGAGGAUUCUCUCGCUUGUUCUUGGGUCAGUUCUUGGCGCGGCAGGAUGAAGUAUAUGAAGCUUGGAUCAAAGCCGAAUGUCCUUUAGGGCUUAUUCGGUUAUUUUCAAUCCAUAUGGAUUGGAGGGGAUUGAUACGGAUUGAAGGGGAUUUUGACUUACUAGGGAUUGAAUCCCCCUCAAUCACCCUCAAUCCAUAUGGAUUGGGGUAGAACCGAACAUGCCCUUAGACGGAGGGGAGCAAUAUCAGGUGCCUUCCUGGUCAUCAGGCGACGCUCUUGAUGGUACAUGUUUUGAUGGUUUUCAUUACAUAGGACAUGUGAAAUACUAUUAGAAGAACAUCCGCGUAUAAAUAAUUAUCUUUUAGAUUUUUUGUCUUGUUAGCAUGAGCUCUCUCAAACAUUGUCUCUGCAGAGGACUAUGAUGCUGAUUAUAAAUUAUGUGUUGUUUUUCUUACUAUAAUCAUUGUUG